GGGGCACAACCAGGCAGGGCCGAACGCUGUACACACAGUGCUGAGGAGGGCGGCUCUUUCUGCUCUCAAAUCGUGCUCCUUUUGUUGCCUUUCAACCAAAUAAAGGGAGAGAGUCGUUUUUAAAAGGCCUGAAAAGUCAACGGUUACAUUAAAAAAAAAAACCCCACUUAAAAAACCAAAGUGAUGGCGGUUUGGUCCCAACAAGUCAACACUGAGAUCUUUAUUCACAUGCUCCAUUGCUUCUUACUUCAAGAACCAAAAAUAGUUUCCAAAAUGAUCAUUUAAUUGAUGUUCCUACACAAAGGCCUAAAAGGAGAGUACGGAUUUAAAAAAAAAAAACAAACUGAAUACACAACGGGGGAGAAAAAGGGGGAAGGGGUGAGGAAACCCCGAGCUGCACUACUGCAAAUUAUAAAAGAGAAACAAAAACAUCAACUAAAGGUGGGCACAAACCCCAUUCCACGGCGCCUUCAAAGCCCGUUACCAAACAAACCCCCCAACCAAACUGAAGAACAACCAUUCUGUAAGGGCACGGACAGAACAGCCGGAGCCUCACCCAGCACUCGACCUCAUUCAGUCCACAAUGUCUUUGGGAAGAUGCGCUCCGUGAGCGGACCCAAGCAGAAAUGAUGCGUCAGUUCUCACCCCCGGGGAGGGGGGCAGAGCUCUGACAGCGCAGGGAACGUCGGGGUUAUGUCAGAGCCCUUCGAGGGGCUCCGCUCCGGGGGCCGCCCUGAGGCCCGGCACGGUGAGUGCCGCUCCCGGCACCGCGGCUAUUCGGCCGCCGACUGCAGGCUGUCUUUGUCCUCUCUGUUCUCCGUCCCGCUCUCAUCGUCUUCGAUUUCUCCUUCUUCGCCGCUGAAUUUGUCGUGAGCCCAUUUGGGGCUGGUGCUCGACUUCCUGAACAUGAAACGCCCUCGGCCUCGGGGGAAGGCACCGCGGCCACGGCCUCUGCUCACCCACUUCUCCGCGCCUUCGCCCUCGCGGUCAUCGUGCAGGUAGUACUUCUUGCUCUUCGGUGUGUACUCAGGAUCCCAAUCCUCUUCCCUGCUUCUCUUCUGGAAGUCAUUGUUGCCACCACUGUUGCUGUUAUUGUUGCCUGAAAAGUUGCCUCGGCCCCAUCCUCUCCCCCUCGCUCUGAAUUGAAAGGUCCCUCGGGCUCUUCCUCUCUCAUUUGGACCCGUGAACUCCUUAGUUCCAAGUCGGGACUUGUCAAAGCCUGUGGUGCUUUCCUCCCUCUCCUCAGUCUCCUCGGGAUACUCCUCUGCUUUCACUGAAUGAGAGGACCGUGAGGACGACGAGCUGGAUCUGGACCUCUCACGCACCCUUCGGUGUUUCUUUUUCUUUGAGCUUUUGUGACUUUUCUCCGUUUUCUCAGCUGAUCUUUCCCUUGAGUGACUCGAAUCUCUGGACUCCACCGACUCUCUGGAUUUAUCACGUUUAAGAUCUCUUUCCUUAUGUUUUUUACGGCGCUCGAUAUCAAGGCGCAGGUCAACAGGGUCAUCCUUGUAUUUCCCUUCAGCCUACAAGGGCAGGGAUGGGGAGAGUUUAACACACAGACCCACAGCACCCCCAGUUCAGCACCAUUACUUUACUACUGACUGCACAAACUUGUGGAGAGCAGGGGUUUAUCUGAAUGCUACUCAAUGCUCCAUUUUAAGAUGCAAAACGAUGCACUAUCAAACUCAGUUUUUAUUUGUCAGACUUCAAUCUUCCUACUUUUUUUUUUAAAAAAAAAAAACUUUUACCCUCUUUAAAACAGCAUUAGAAUAGCCUGGUCAUAGGGGAACACUGACACUUAUUGUACACCACAGCCAUCGAGAUGAGAGCAACUUGGAAACCCAAUCCGUGUGAGUGUGUGUGGCAGAACUGCAGCGUGCCAGGAAUGCUGGAAGGCCUGGGGACACCUGUCACAGGGCAGCAGCAUCCAGCAGGGCAGAAGGGCUCUACAAACUUAAGGAGAAGCAAAAGCUGUUUGCCAGCUGGAGACACCUGGGGCAGCAAUCCUUCAGUGAGCGUGCUAAGAGAUGGAGGCCACUGGAAAUGCAGUGAUCAAGGCUGUUUACUUGGAAGAAUCCCACUGAUGUGUUGUCUUUAAUACCCCUGUCAAGAAGGUUUGCUCUGUGGCAGAUACCACCCAGAGCAUGGCUUUCCCUUGUCUAGGGGCACCACAUGGAAGGUGCCAAAAAUCCAUCCAGCUCUACAAAAAGCACCCAGCUCGUGGUCUCUGUGUGUCUGUUAACACAGUCAGCUACACAAUCUGGGAAUGCUUGCUCGAGUUCAACUGAAAUGGCUGCCUAAACGAGCAGCAGGCUGCAAUGGUUUCUUUAGGAAAGGUGUAGCUGCGUUACCUGGGGGUGCUCUGAGAGCUGCAGCACUUGGAUGAGGUUCUGCUCUGAGUGCACAACGUGAGCAGCAAACUGACAGUGCUGUGGUUUUGCCAAACGUUUACCCGAGCAGCAGUGCUUUGGUGGCAACCUGCACACCACGUCGCUAGCAACAACACAGCCCCCACAGCAACUGCUGCUCCAUUUACACAGCACUAAUCUCGGGAACUGUAUGACUUGAUACACAACAUCAAUCAGAUUAAUCGCCCUUGAAUUAAAUACAAAAGGAUUAGUAAUUCUCUAGCUAUUAAACUUUUUACUUACAUGAGUUUCUAAACACUUUUUUUGUUUAAAUAAAAAUGUCAAAUAACGCAGGAGUGGGAGCAGGCCUUUUGGUUGGGUUUUUUUGCUCUUCUACUUUCCCCAGGCAAAGAGCUUUAAUUUCUACUCUGAGAAUACAACUGCUCCCAACACGGUGGAUGGCAGAUAAGUGACAAAAUCAGCAGCAGCUCCCUUAUGUGGUGCAGCAAACACCUAUUGGGUUUGUGAGGGCACGUCUGUUUCACGGAAGGCUGGCGAGCUGUUUGGAAACCACGUUUAUAAUACACUCUGCCAAGCUGAUGCUCAGAGUUCAGGCCCAUCAAAUCCAUCUCACCAUCGUCCAUGUCAAGCCACAAGUGUUUGGAAAAAAUCGAAAACAAAUAUGAAACAAGUAAGGUUUCAGCACGACUGUUCAAAAUCUCUUCAAUGUAAAUAUGUACGAAGGUGAAUACACAAAGGUUAAAAUCCCAAACAUUGUGUUAAGCCAUUUCUAAGUGGUUUACGGUAAGCAUCAUGGCUUAACAUGAGCUACAGCUAACACACUCCAUUCCCAAAGGUCUGCUCUACGACAACAGGUGCUGAAUGUUAACUAACAGCAAUCAACAGAAACGGUACAGCAAGUUGUUAGAACAAAUUUUAUCACCCUCUUAAUAGUGUAUCUUGUUUAGCUAAGUAUUUAGUUUUACUCUCCUCUUUUUGACAUGCAUGUCUUUCUGAAAACAUGGUUGGCAAUAUCGCAUGUAUACAAUUGAUUUAAUAAUACUUACAAGCAGACAAAUAUCACAAAAAGUCUCUUCUCUCAUCAUGGGCACUUGUUCCAAAAAUCCUCUCAUUUUUCUCAAGCUCACCUCAAUUGACUUUGGGGUCAUUUACCAUAGUCU
rnacentral:lncRNA from 1 species